rnacentral:rRNA from 1 species
CCUACGGGUGGCAGCAGUGAGGAAUAUUGGUCAAUGGGCGGAAGCCUGAACCAGCCAAGUCGCGUGAGGGAUGAAGGUUCUAUGGAUCGUAAACCUCUUUUGUCAGGGAAUAAAGUGCGGGACGUGUCCCGUUUCGUAUGUACCUUGAGAAAAAGGAUCGGCUAACCCCGUGCCAGCAGCCGCGGUAAUUCGGAGGAUCCGAGCGUUAUCCGGAUUUAUUGGGGUUAAAGGGUGCGUAGGCGGCCUUUUAAGUCAGCGGGGAAAGUCUGUGGCUCAACCAUAGCAGUGCCGUUGAAACUGGGUGUCUUGAGUACGUUUGAGGCAGGCGGAAUGCGUGGUGUAGCGGUGAAAUGCUGAGAUAUCACGCAGAACCCCGAUUGCGAAGGCAGCCUGCCGAGCCAUGACUGACGCUGAUGCACGAAAGCGUGGGGAUCAAACAGGAUUAGAUACCCGAGUAGUC